AUCCUUUUUCAUGAUGACUGGGUUUUCAUGGCCUGUGUGAGAUAUGCCUCCCUCAAACCUUGUUACGAUGUUGAGACAUUACCUGUCCCAUG
ensembl:snoRNA